GGCCAAGCGAGUUGCCAUUGUGGGAGCUGGGGUCAGUGGCCUGGCCUCCAUCAAGUGCUGUCUGGAAGAAGGACUGGAGCCCACCUGCUUUGAGAGGAGCGACGACCUUGGGGGGCUGUGGAGAUUCACCGAACAUGUUGAAGAAGGCAGAGCCAGUCUCUACAAGUCUGUGGUUUCCAACAGCUGCAAGGAGAUGUCUUGUUACUCAGACUUUCCAUUCCCAGAAGAUUAUCCAAACUAUGUGCCAAAUUCUCAAUUCCUGGAAUAUCUCAAAAUGUAUGCAAACCACUUUGACCUUCUGAAACACAUUCAAUUCAAGCAGACAUGGUCUUCCACCUCUCUGAGCCUUUCUUAGAAAACCCUGAGAAGUUGACUGAAGCAUUUAGGUGCUGCUUCUUAUGCUCUUCCCGACAAGUUUGCACAAAAAAUGCAUAUGAUGACAUUUUGUCUCUUGGCUUCUUAGAAUCUCCUUUGCCAAUGUUUAGUUAUUUUUCCUCAGUGAGGCACAGAGU
rnacentral:sRNA from 1 species